GAAGAACGCCUGGCGGCGUUGCUUAACACAUGCAAGUUCGGAACGAAACACCUGGAUUUGAUUUCUUCGGAAGAAGAUUCCUUGUGACUGAGUGGCGGACGGGUUGAGUAACGCGUGGGUAACCUGCCUCAUACAGGGGGAUAACAGUUAGAAAUGACUGCUAAUACCGCAUAAGACCACAGGGUCGCAUGACCUGGUGGGAAAAACUCCGGUGGUAUGAGAUGGACCCGCGUCUGAUUAGGUAGUUGGUGGGGUAACGGCCUACCAAGCCGACGAUCAGUAGCCGACCUGAGAGGGUGACCGGCCACAUUGGGACUGAGACACGGCCCAAACUCCUACGGGAGGCAGCAGUGGGGAAUAUUGCACAAUGGGGGAAGCCCUGAUGCAGCGACGCCGCGUGAGCGAAGAAGUAUUUCGGUAUGUAAAGCUCUAUCAGCAGGGAAGAAAAUGACGGUACCUGACUAAGAAGCACCGGCUAAAUACGUGCCAGCAGCCGCGGUAAUACGUAUGGUGCAAGCGUUAUCCGGAUUUACUGGGUGUAAAGGGAGCGUAGACGGCUGUGUAAGUCUGAAGUGAAAGCCCGGGGCUCAACCCCGGGACUGCUUUGGAAACUAUGCAGCUAGAGUGUCGGAGAGGUAAGUGGAAUUCCCAGUGUAGCGGUGAAAUGCGUAGAUAUUGGGAGGAACACCAGUGGCGAAGGCGGCUUACUGGACGAUGACUGACGUUGAGGCUCGAAAGCGUGGGGAGCAAACAGGAUUAGAUACCCUGGUAGUCCACGCCGUAAACGAUGACUACUAGGUGUCGGGGAGCAAAGCUCUUCGGUGCCGCAGCAAACGCAAUAAGUAGUCCACCUGGGGAGUACGUCCGCAAGAAUGAAACUCAAAGGAAUUGACGGGGACCCGCACAAGCGGUGGAGCAUGUGGUUUAAUUCGAAGCAACGCGAAGAACCUUACCUGCUCUUGACAUCCCGGUGACCGGCAUGUAAUGAUGCCUUUUCUUCGGAACACCGGUGACAGGUGGUGCAUGGUUGUCGUCAGCUCGUGUCGUGAGAUGUUGGGUUAAGUCCCGCAACGAGCGCAACCCUUAUCUUCAGUAGCCAGCAUUUAAGGUGGGCACUCUGGAGAGACUGCCAGGGAUAACCUGGAGGAAGGUGGGGAUGACGUCAAAUCAUCAUGCCCCUUAUGAGCAGGGCUACACACGUGCUACGAUGGCGUAAACAAAGGGAAGCGAAACUCUGUGAGGGUAAGCGAAAUCUCGAAAAAAUAACGUUCUCGGUUUCGGAUUGUAGUCUGCGAACUCGAACUACGUGAAAGCUGGAAAUCGCUUAGUGAAUCGCGAAAUCGGCGUGUCGCGAGUGAAUUACGUUUCCCGGGUUCU
rnacentral:rRNA from 1 species